UAGACUAUACAUGCAGUCGGACGGGAUUGGAACCAAGAGCUUGCUCUGAUUCCAGUGAGAGUGGCGCACGGGUGCGUAACGCGUGAGCAACCUACCUCUAUCAGGGGGAUAGCCUCUCGAAAGAGAGAUUAACACCGCAUAAUAUAAUCUUCCGGCAUCGUUAGAUUAUUAAAUAUUUAUAGGAUAGAGAUGGGCUCGCGUGACAUUAGCUAGUUGGUAGGGUAACGGCUUACCAAGGCGACGAUGUCUAGGGGCUCUGAGAGGAGAAUCCCCCACACUGGUACUGAGACACGGACCAGACUCCUACGGGAGGCAGCAGUAAGGAAUAUUGGUCAAUGGGCGGAAGCCUGAACCAGCCAUGCCGCGUGCAGGAUGACUGCCCUAUGGGUUGUAAACUGCUUUUGUCCAGGAAUAAACCUCCUUACGUGUAAGGAGCUGAAUGUACUGGAAGAAUAAGGAUCGGCUAACUCCGUGCCAGCAGCCGCGGUAAUACGGAGGAUCCGAGCGUUAUCCGGAUUUAUUGGGUUUAAAGGGUGCGUAGGCGGCCUAUUAAGUCAGGGGUGAAAUACGGUGGCUCAACCAUCGCAGUGCCUUUGAUACUGAUGGGCUUGAAUCCAUUUGAAGUGGGCGGAAUAAGACAA
rnacentral:rRNA from 1 species